UCCCCGAGCCUGGUAGUAGGUGACGUAGGCACGUGGUGCCAGGGUCAAAAGAAAAGUCCUCAAAGAAAUUCUGAAACUAAGAUGCAUUGCCAAAUGCAUCGUACCGAUGUAGUCUCUGAGCUUGCUGGAAGGCGAAGUAUGAGCCUUGUAGCAAGGUCUAAAAAAUUAAAAUUAUCCAUAACUGAGAAAAGCAAUGCCCAAGCUAUGGUUGGAGAGUAAUCGAAGCAAGUCCUGAGCACAGCGCAGGGAGAUGAUUGAUGAGUCUCCGAGCACAGCAUAGAGACUGGUCGACCAGUCCGCGAGCAUGGUUGGGAACGUAAACAUGCUCGGUGGUCGGCACAGUCCCCGAGCACGGCGUAUGGACUGGUAGACAAGUCCCCGAGCGUGGUUGAGAACGUAAACGUGCUCGGUGGUCGGCACAGUCUUCGAGCACAGCGUAGAGACUAGUCGACAAGUCUCCGAGCGUGGUUGGGAACGUAAACGUGCUCGGUGGUCGGAGCAGUCCCCGAGCACAGCGUAGGGAAUAGUCGACGAGUCCUCGAGCGUAGCUUGUUCACUGGGCCAAACUCCUAAAAAAUAAAUAUAGAGAAAAGGUAGUAUAUGAUGUAUAAAUAAACUCUAGAUAAAAAUCAAUACUGAUAUAAGUUUUAGAUUUUUUGUUAUAAAAUUAGCACGAGUAGUUAAUUUGUCCUAGAGCUUGUAGCAGCUCUGGUCUAGCCAACAAUCAGCAUGAGGUGCGGAACCUAGGCACGUGUAGGAUUGUCAGCCACAUCAGAGAGCUCCUGCCGACCACCAGAAACGCAGAGGGCGGAUCUCGUGCACGUGUAGGGAGGAGUCGGAGACAGUACCGGCUCUGGAAAGCUCGUGUAGGAGAAAAAACUAGUCGGCUAAAAAAGUUGUUUUGAAAAAAUAUUAUGCCAAAAAUAAAUAAAAUAUUAGAAGUGUACUUAUCUUUGAAAGAAAGUCUAGUCGGUGACGACAAAAUUGUCCGGCCCACGAGCUUUUCGACUUGUCAUGACGGUGGUCGCUGUUGUCAUAGCGCCGUUCUUCGCGGCGAUUAUUAUUGCGACUGGUGGUCAGAGCAAGUAGGACAAACAAUUUGGUCGAUGGCCCGAGCAGGUCGGUGUUGUCGAUCUACCUCCCUUUGUAGCAGGGAAGCGGAUGACGCGUUGUCGGUGUGGUUGGAGACGUUGCGGGAGUAGUGGGAGUCGUAGUCAGCGUGGUUGGAGCCGCGGCCAACGUCGAUGAAGAAGUGAAUGCCGUAGAUCGGAUCUACGCCUCCUCCGUGGUCAUGGCGGUGAAGCUGUCGAAGCUGACGGUGAACGUGAAGCCGUCCGCCAUGGCCGCGAAGUCGUGGAUGAUGGCCAUCUUGUUCGUCUGGGAAGUUGUACGCACACCCCCUACCUGGCGCGCCACUGUCGACGAAAGCUAGUCGGCAGUCUACCUUGGGGUAUACCCACGGUAGUAGUUUAUCGGCAGACGGUGCGCAAACUACGAACUCGAUAGUGACGCAAGACACGGACAAGCUUUUUAUCCAGGUUCGGCCGCCGUGUGGGCGUAAUACCUACGUCCUGCGUCUGAUUGUAUUGGAUUGAGAAUAAUGUAUGUGACCUGUCCUCUAGGGGACCCCUGCCCCACCUUAUAUAUCCUGAAGGGACAAAGUUACAAGCAAAGUAUCCUAUUUGGUACAAUAACUUGUAGCCUUGAGGUGCACGCCGACCAGUCGUGCGCCGCACGUCUUCAUCCUGUGGGCCGAGCCACCUCUGAUGGUGCGGCACAUAUAGGCCCAUGAGGGUAUAGGGGUUUAUACACCCACAGUGCAUACCUCCACCUCUCUUGCAUGUCUGGGUCCUUUCUUCAUUCCAGCCUUGGUUGGACGUCAUCUUCUCCACAAGAGCUAUGGCUUGUGGUAUGGUGAGUGAUAGGAAUGCUCCUCCAGCUGCAGCAUCCAUGGUCUCUCGGGCACUAUUGUCGAGCCCAUGAUAAAACGUUUGCAUCAAUAGCCACCUCUCCAUUCCAUGAUGGGGAUAUUCUUGGAUGUAGUCUUGGAAGCGCUCCCAUGCUUCUGGAACGGAUUCAUCAUGUUGUUGCUGAAAACUUGUAAUUUUCCCAUGAAGAGCAUUGGUCUUGCCCAUGGGAAAGAACAUAGCCAGAAUGUUUGUGGAGCAGAGUGCCCACGUAGUAUUCUUCUCUUUUGUAGCGUAGAACCACUGCUUCGCUCUCCCCAACAGUGAGAAUGGGAAGAGGCGAAGUUGUUGACACCGUUUUUGGGCACGUGUCUAGGAUGGCAGGAUAAGGUGGCAGUACGAUGUUUACAAAGUGGGUUGCCGAUGAGGAUGGUUGCCGAUGAGGGAGAAGUUGAACGUGACUAAGUCCACAAGCAGUAAUACGGUGCCGAUGGCUAGAUAAGAAAGUCUGCCGAUGACUAUGGCAAAGGGUCUGCCGAUGAUGCAAAGAGGGAGUCCGGAAGCUGCCGGUCGUUAUGUGGAGGAGUUUCGGUUUGUCACGAGGGAUAGUUUUGUUAUUUCCUUAAUUAUUUGCAUCGUUUUGUAUACGGAUUCCGUGUAAUUUAGAAUUCGAAUUAUAAUCGUGUCUGGUUGUAGCUCUUUGAGCAGGGUAUAAAUAUAGACCCUAGGGCCUUGUAAUAAAAAAUGAAUCAAUGAAUCAAACACACGUUUUUACUCAUAUUCCAGCAUUUACUUUUCGACGACUUCGUCAUACUUUUUCCUUUUGUUACGAGUUCUUAGGAAUUCGUUGACUUAAGCUCGGCGUGUUCUCAAGUUCCGCGUGAGUACCUCUUAGCCGUGACAUCCGGGCGCAUCGCUGUUGUCAGGACUAAAGUAUUCGAGUUAUCACCUUUGCCGAUAGCAAGGUCAAAUCGGCUGGCACGCCUUAAUAUUUGAAUCGGGUAUUAGCCCUUUGUGUUUGCAGAUCAGUUUUGCAUCAACACAUCUUUUGGCACGCCCAGUGGGACAGGAUUCAAGAUCAAGAUCAACAUGUCGAUCUCUGACCUCGAUCAAGAGAACGUCAUCCCCGUGACGGAGGCCAACCUCAAGGAUGAGCAGAAGCAAGCUAUUGCCCAAGCCAUGGAAGAGUUCAAGCAGCAAUGCCUGAGGUCUUUCAGCAUAAACAGGAGCGGCGAAGUGGUCCAGAAAGAUGCACUGCCGGCACCACGGCAGGUUACCUUUGACGCCAAUCCUGGCAAGCUUCAAGAUAUGGUUGACAAUGCCAUCAAUCGAGCGUUGAUUAACCAAGCUGGUGUACUGUCUAAUACGGUUUUCAAUGUCGUGGCAAGAACUUUCAAGGAAGGACAAAUCCCACCAGAUUAUGUGGGCCCCUCCCAUCAUCAGCCAACGGCACCAGAGGUCACGGCUCCAUCGGCUGCCUUGACGACUGCAAGUGCACAAUCUGCCGUCCCUCCAAGUACAUCGGGGACUACUGGUGCACUAUCUAUGCCGAUGACAACCAACCCACAAAUUUCAGUUGGGCAGCAUAAACUGACAACAGAUAUGUUGGCAUCGGCAAUGUCAGGGUUGACUCUUCCUCCCAACUGGUGGGGUUACGGUAUGCCUCCAGAGUUGACACCGGGAACAUCACAAAUAACUGACAUGAGGGGCAAAACUCCUAUGACAUCGGCACCUCCCAAUGCGCCGGUGAACCAGAGUCCUCGGUAUACCACAACUACUACUGCAAGGCCUCACACUGGAAAUCCUCAAGAUUCAAUGUUCCAGAUGCCCAACGCAUCGGCAGAGUCAAUGCUGAUGCAACAGAGGUCUACGGCCCAGUCGGGGUAUGUCAAUUCAAGGACGGUACCCAAUUACCAAUCAUCGGCAGCACCUAUGCCGAUGAACGCUAAUAAUGGAUGACUUGGACAGCAAGCCUUUCCACAAUCGCCCCAGCAGAGUUACCAGACUACAGGGUUCCAGCAAGGGCAGGUCUAUCCCGGGUUCCAAGGUCAGGGGAUUCCCAACCAGCCAAUGAAUUUUGGACAGCAACUCGGAGGACAGCCAAUCGGUGGACAGCAGUUUGGUGGUCCGCAGAUUGGAGGACAGGUGAUCAAUACAAUGUUCCGUGCAGAUCACGUCUCGAACAGACACGUGGAGGUUCGCCACCAAGUGCCAGAUCCGCAGCCGCCUCAUCGGCAAGAUGCCGAUGCAUAUUGGGCCGAUAAGAUUGCUGAAGUAAUGAGGGAACAAUUUGGGAUAAAACCCAAAGUCAACACUUAUUCUUAUCGGACACCGUAUCCUCCCGCGUAUGAUUUGAUCCCGCUUCCACAUCGGUACAAGGUAUCGGAUUUUACAAAGUUUUCCGGGCAGGACGACACGUCAACCAUGGAGCAUGUCAACAGGUUCAUCAUUCAAUGUGGAGAGGCUGGUAACAGGGACGAAUUGAGGGUUCGUCUAUUUUCAUCAUCAUUGUCUGGAUCGGCCUUUACUUGGUUCAUAUCAUUACCUCCCAACUCAGUAAUUACUUGGGCCGAUCUAGAGAAGAAAUUCCACAAAUACUUCUUCUCGGGGGUUCAUGAGAAGAAGAUCACCGACUUGGUCAAGUUGAAGCAACGUAAUGAUGAGUCGAUUGAGGGUUUUGUGCAGAGGAUACGAGAGGUCAAGAAUAAAUGCUAUAGCUUGGUUCUGGAUGAUCGGCAGCUAGCCGAUUUGGCUUUCCAGGGUUUGUUGCCACAUAUCAGGGAUAAGUAUGCCUCUCAGGAGUUCGAAAGUUUAAGUCAUUUGGUGCAGAGGAUUUCUGAUCAAGACAUCAAGCCUUUCGAGCCUAAAAGAGCAUGGAAUAGGAAAGUGUCAUUUGUCGAUGAAGCAACGAGCUCAGAUUCUGAUGAAGAACCAGUAAUCGGCUUUGCAGAGUGGGUAAAAAACAAGAAGCCGAUGUCUUGUCCUUUUGGGCAGAAGGAACCAGAGAAGUUUGCUUUUGACACCGCUAAGGCUGAUAGGAUAUUUGACUUUCUACUUCAGGAAGGUCAGAUCAAACUGUCACCUAACCAUGUGAUCCCAUCGGCAGAAGAGUUGAAGAGGAUGAGAUAUUGCAAGUGGCAUAAUGCAACUUCCCAUGACACCAACGAGUGCAAAGUAUUCAGACAGCAGCUGCAAUCGGCUAUAGAGUCAGGGAGAAUCAAGUUUGACAGUUCCAAAGCCCAGAAGUCGAUGAAGAUAGACCAACAUCCUUUCCCGACAAACAUGUUGGAUGCUAAGGGGAAGGCUAAGGUCUUAACAUCGGAGACAGCUGAGAAGAGUGCAUCGGUAGAUCCUCAGCAUCAAGUUACUACUGCCGAUGCAAGAAGUAAGGGCUUGGUCCAGGAAGGAACUAGCUCAGGAAGGCCUCCUCGAUCUGGUAUCGUCAUAACUCAUAGAAGGCCUCGAGAAAAAUGGCAACAACGGGAAGAUCGGUAUCGGCGCCAGUAGGAAGAUUAUCGACGGGAAGAAGAAAGACGCCGACAGGAGUGGAAUCGGCACAGGGAUCAUUGGAAUUGUCCAUUCUUCAUCCAUUGCUGGGAGGAAAAUAUCAAGCUUCCUACUGUCAGAGACUGCCCUGAGUGCAACGGUUAUGAUCGGUACGAUGGGAUCGAUCGGCAUUAUCAUGAAGAUGAACGGCGAUUUAAUGGGCCGAUCAGAGGAAGGGUGUCAGUUCAUGACCGGCUGGGGGGCAGAUUUAGUGGGCACGACAGACUUAGUGACCGUGUCCAGUAUUUUCCCAGGAACCAAGAAGAGCUCGAGGAAAUGGCUGAUGCGCGGGUUCCCGAUGAAUUCAUAUUUUGCAGGGAUGCUAACACGCAUCGUAUGGAGUCAAGGGAGAACCGACGCCCGACGGCAAGGCAAAGGCCACUUCCUCCAUGGUGCCCUGGAGGAUUAACCAAGACACAGAAAAGGAGAUUGCAACGUGAAAGGCAAGAAGAGCUAAACAAGGGAGAGAACUCUGGAAGUCGGCAGCCGUCAGACACUAAGAGGGAAGGUCCAUCGGCAGGCGUCAACAUGGUCUUCAUGUUGCCGAUGGAGUUUAUUGCACCAGCCAGUGAUGAUGAGUUGGAAUUUUCUGAUCAGAUAGCACAGUUGGCUCUGGAUCCGAUGACGGCUAUCUUUGAGAAACCUGCCGAUGACGAGAGGCAGCAUCUUAAAGCUCUGUUCCUCAAAGGAAGGGUUGAUGGGCAGCCAAUGACCAAGAUCCUAGUUGAUGGUGGAGCUGCUAUUAAUAUUAUGCCGUAUGCAGUAUAUCGGAAGCUUGGGAAAGGGGAUCAAGAUUUGACCAAGACCGAUAUGAUGCUCAAAGACUUUGAAGGAAACGUGUCUCCAGUCAAGGGGGCGAUAUGUGCAGAGUUGACCAUCGGCAGCAAAACCUUGCCGACAACUUUUUUCGUGAUCAGCGGAAAAGGUGCUUACAACUUAUUAUUGGGAAGAGAUUGGAUUCAUGCCAAUUGUUGUAUCCCAUCUACAAUGCAUCAAUGCUUGGUUUAGUGGGUAGGUGACAAGAUUGAGAUUGUCCCAGGAGAUUCUUCUUAUGUUAUCGCAUCGGCAGAAGCGGAUACUUACGAAAGGACCAGGUGCAUUUCAGGAGAAGUUUGGGAGAAAGAUUUUCUCAAAGUUGCCGAUUAUGAGAUUCCACCGAUCCAAGCAGUCGGUUCUGACGAUGGUUUUUAAUGGAUAGAUUCGCCGAUGAUGGAAAAUUAGGCCAGGGAUUCACAUCGGCCGAUGAUUUGGUAGAAGUAGAUAUAGGUAGUGGUGAUAAGCCUAGGCCUACUUUUAUUAGUGCUAAAUUAGAUCCCGAGAGUAAGCAACAAUUGACUAGUUUGUUAAAGGAAUACAAAGAUUGCUUUGCUUGGGAUUAUACCGAGAUGCCUGGUUUAGACCGAUCAAUUGUUGAACAUCGGUUACCCAUCAAGUCUGGAUUUCGGCCACAUCAGCAACCAGCCCGCCGAUGUAAUCCUAACAUUCUACCUGAUAUUAAGGCCGAAAUCACCAAACUUAUUGAAGCUAAGUUUAUUCGGCAGUGUCGGUAUGCCGAGUGGAUUUCCAAUGUUGUUCCGGUUUACAAGAAGAACGGGAAGCUUCGGGUGUGCAUUGAUUUCAGGAAUCUCAAUAAAGCUACGCCGAUGGAUGGAUACCCAAUGCCUGUCACCGAUCUACUGGUUGAUGCUGCGGCUGGUCAUCAGGUCAUCAGCUUCAUGGAUGGUAAUGCAGGUUACAAUCAAAUAUUCAUGGCGGAGGAGGAUAUUCCAAAAACCGCAUUCAGGUGUCCUGGUCAUGUUGGGCUAUUUGAAUGGAUAGUCAUGACUUUUGGGUUGAAGAAUGCUGGUGCUACUUAUCAAAGGGCUAUGAAUUUUAUAUUUCAUGAGUUCAUCGGCAAGCUCGUGGAGAUUUAUAUUGAUGAUGUGGUGGUUAAGUCUGGAGAUUUCUCAAAGCAUCUUGCCGAUUUACAAAAAGUGUUAGAGUGCACAAGGAAGCAUGGAUUGAAGAUGAAUCCCAACAAGUGUGCAUUUGGUGUAUCGGCAGGGCAGUUUCUUGGUUUCAUGGUACAUCAGAGGGGUAUUGAAAUUAGUCGAAGAUCUAUUGAUGCCAUCAAUAAAAUAGUGGCCCCUACCAACAAAACCGAGCUCCAAUCCUUGAUCGGCAAGUUAAAUUUUAUCAGGAGAUUUAUAUCGAAUUUGUCUGGUAGGAUUCGUGCUUUCAGUCCUCUUCUUAAAUUGAAAGCCGAUCAAGAGUUUAUUUGGGGAGAAGAACAGCAGUUGGCUCUGGAUGAAAUCAAGAAGUAUCUAGUAAAUCCUCCAGUUCCAGUUCCACCUCAACAAGGGAAGCCCUUCAGAUUGUAUUUAUCUACCGAUGGAUCGGUUAUCGGUUCAGCUUUAGUUCAAGAAUUUGAAGGGAAAGAAAGGGUAAUUUAUUAUUUGAGUAGGAGGUUGAUUGAUGCUGAAACCAGGUAUUCGGCCAUUGAGAAACUAUGCUUAUGCUUAUAUUUUUCAUGUAUCAAGCUGAGACAUUACCUGUUAUCGGCCGAAUGCACUGUUGUUUGCAAAGAUGACGUGGUCCGAUACAUGCUAUCUAUGCCGAUUAUGAGUGGUAGGAUCGGUAAAUGGAUUUUAGCGCUGUCGGAGUUCGAUUUGCGUUACGAAUCGGCUAAGGCAGUCAAAGGGCAGAUUAUGGCCGAUUUUGUGACUCAGCAUUGCGGUCUAGUGGAAACCUUGGAAAUUGUACCCUGGACGCUCUUCUUUGAUGGAUCUACCUGUGACCGGGGGGCAGGAAUCGGCAUUGUAUUAGUUUCCCCUAAGGGGAGGAAGUAUGAGUUUUCCUUGCCGAUUGUUGCCACAUCAACAAAUAAUCAGGCUGAGUAUCAGGCUCUGAUCAUGGGAUUGGAGUUGUUAAGAGAAGUUCGUGCUGAUGCUGUUGAAAUAUUCGGGGAUUCUAUGUUGGUUAUAAAUCAAUUGGCCGGAAGCUAUGAAUGCCGAAGUGAAGUUCUCAUAACUUAUUUCGAGAGAAGUAUGCAACUGUUAAAGGAAUUCAAGGAUUUCCGAUUGGAGCAUGUUCCCCGAUUGCAUAAUGAAGACGCUAAUCGGUUAGCUCAGCAUGCCUCGGGAUAUCAGCCAAUGAUUAAUGCGACAUCGGCAGUCGGUGCCGGUGAUUGGAGGAAAGAAAUUAUUGAUUAUCUAAAAGAUCCAUCCAAAAAAGAUGAAAGACGGGUUCGAUUUCAAGCAACCAAGUAUGUGCUCCUUGAAAAUGAAUUGUAUUAUCGAACUAUCGACGGAAUUCUUCUCCGAUGCUUGGGUGAUGAUGAAGCUAGAAGUUUGAUGGGGGAAAUCCAUGAAGGAGUGUGUGGAGCGCAUCAGUCAGCUUUUAAGAUGAAGUGGAUGAUUCGAAGGAAUGGAUAUUUUUGGCCAACCAUACUUGAAGAUUGUUUUAAAUAUUUCAAGGGAUGUCAGGGUUGUCAAAAGUUUGGUAAUAUCCAGAGAGCACCCGCAUCGGCUAUGAAUCCUAUAAUAAAGCCUUGGCCGUUCCGGGGAUGGGCCAUCGAUCUGAUCGGCCAGAUUUAUCCACCAUCUAGCAAAGGGCAUAAGUUCAUUCUAGUUGCCACUGACUAUUUCACUAAGUGGGUUGAAGCUAUUCCUUUGAAGAAUGUCACAUCGGCCAAUAUGAUUGAUUUUGUGAAGGAGCAUAUUAUUUACCGAUUUGGGAUUCCCCAAACGAUUACUACCGAUCAGGGCACCAUGUUCACAUCGGGGGAGUUCGAUGAAUUCGCAAUCGGUAUGGGAAUUAAAGUGUUGAAUUCUUCUCCUUAUUAUGCUCAAGCCAAUGGGCAGGCCGAAGCGUCUAACAAAGGAAUUAUCAAGCUUAUUAAACGAAAGAUUGAAGAAAAUCCUAAGCGGUGGCAUACAUUAUUAAAUGAAGCAUUGUGGUCUUAUCGGAUGGCUUGUCACGGAUCGACCAAAGUAUCACCCUAUCAAUUGGUGUAUGGACAUGAUGCAGUGUUGCCUUGGGAAAUUAAGGCUGGAUCUAGGCGAUUAUCUUUUCAAGAUCAAUUAACUUCCGAUGGUUAUGCCACUUUGAUGACCGAUGAAUUGGACGAUCUAGCAGGGCAUCGGUUAAAAGCUUUAAUGAGUAUAGAAGAAAAUAAGAAGAGAGUUGCUAGAUGGUAUGAUAAGAAAGUGAAGGCUAAAGAGUUUGCCGAUGGGGAUUUGGUAUGGAAAUUAAUUUUACCAAUUGGGACCAAAAGUUCGAAGUUUGGAAAGUGGUCUCCUAAUUGGGAGGGUCCUUAUCGGAUAAGUCGAUCGGCUCCUGGUAAUGCCUACAUUCUAGAAACCCUCGAAGGAAUUGAAUUUCCCAGAGCAUUAAACGGCAAAUAUUUAAAGAAGUACUACCCCAGUAUAUGGGUCGAUGCAUAGAAGUUUAGGUGCCGAUAACACUCCUAUCGGCUGGAUCCAAAUGCUUGGGGACAAGACUUGGUGUUUCAAAAGUUUAGGUGCCGAUAACAGUCCUAUCGGCUAGACUAAAAGCUGAGGAAGCAGGAAAGCGCAGAUACAAUGCCGAUGGAAACUCUAUGUGUUAAGCAGCGUCUGGAUUGCCGAUAUAGCGCGUAGCCGAAUUUGGUUGGCUGCUUCUAUCUCCUUGAUGUCAUCAUCGGCAGAACCUUCUAUCGGCUUCGGCUUCUUCUUCAGUUGAAGUGCCUUGCGACCAUGAGCAUUUCGUUCGUGCUCAAGAAGCCUGAUGGUCUCUGGCAAUUGGCUCUCUUCCUGUUGGGCUUGGGACAGAGCGUUCUCUACUUCCUUGAGCUUCGCCAACAGGGAUUCUUUUCUUGCCGAUAGAUCGGAUAUCUUCUGCUUCAGCGCGUCUCCAGAAGAUCUCAGGAUACCGAUGUUCUUGUGCUUCUCAUCGGUCAAAAGCUUCUCUUUCCUCAUUUCAUCGGAGAGUUGAGUCUGAGCGGCUCUAUCGGCAAGCCGCCGAGAAGCUCUUUGGUACUGCAGCUGGCGACUCUCCAGAUGAGCGGCUUGGAACAGGAUUUCUUCAACAUCGGCUGGGAUUUGGCCUCUGAGAGUUCUGAACAGGGUCUUGGUAGGGUCGGAAUCAUCAACCAAUUGCACUGUGUCCUGGUGAAGGAGAGCUGACAAUUCUUCCAGCCUGACCCUGAUCUCUGCCGAUGUGAUGCCGACCGUCUGAGAAGAGCUUGCUUCUUCACCUUCUUCUUCAGAGAGAUCGAUGGCGAAGGAGAACAGGCUAUCGGGAGAAUCUUGUUCCUGGGAGGGAAAGCAAAAUUAGCUCAUACUCAGAGAAUCGGCAAAUAGUGCUAACGGUAAACGGUGACAUACUUGCUUCAAGGCGAUCUCUUGUCUUUGACUGAGAAGUGCUGACGGAGCUGCCGGCUGAUCGGCCAAAGAUGCCGAUGGAGCUACAGGUUGAUCGGCUGAGAUUGCCGAUGGAACGAUAUCAACUGAAAGAAGACAAAAGGAGUUAUGAGACUAAAUAAGAAUAAGUUCAUCGGUAGCGAUAUUGUUAAAGUAUGUUACCUGGAGGAGGGACAACGGUUGUCUGAAUCGGGAGAACUGCCGGUGGUAUAACUGGACCCACCGGGCCAGUUGUUUGUUCACCCAUGUCAGCUGAUGUAUCUUCUGUUUGAGAUCCUUCCUAUUGGGGUUCUUCUAUCUGUGGUGCUUCCUGCAUAGGUGGGGGAGAUGGUGCUUGCUGUGGCUGGGCUUCUGGAGAAGAAGGAGAAGACUCCACCGGAAUUGGAGAUACCGGAGGAGGAGGGGGAGUUGCUACCUUCUGGCGCUUUGUUCCAGUCUUAGCACCCGUGGUGCCCUUUCUCUUGGGUUGGCUAGACUGGGGGGCAUCGGUACUCUCACACCUGGCUUUCGCCGAUGCGCCGGUUUGCUGCAAUAAUGAACAAGAGUUUAUAAGCAUAAAUGUAGCCGAUAUAAGGAUAGUCAGCAUAAAGGAAAAGAUUUGACAAAUUGCCUUGAAAGCCCGCGCAAGAGUGGGAGCAGCAACCGUUGGUGAUGUCUGGGUUCUUCUGGUGGUGACUUUCCUGAGGCGUACACCCCGAUGCACGAUGGAAGCUAGAGUGGGAGCAUUGUGGCCGAUUGAGGAAAUCGGGCCUGAUGGAAACAAGUCGAUCGGCCUGCCACUCCUGCUAACCAAUGGAGGAAUAUUGUCAACCUGCAAAAGGAAUACAAGGGUAAGCUGCCGAUGGAGGUAAUAUUGAGAAAAUGAAACGUUGGUUUGAGUUACAUACAGUGUCAUCGGGAACUUCGUAUUCGGAGUCAAUCAUGCCGCGGUAUGAAAGUGCCGAUCUGCAGAAUAGAUGCUCUUUCCAUUCUGCCCACCAUAACUUGUAUGCCUGAGUGAUAAAAGCAGCCGGAACCCAUUCUGACAGAUCUACAUCUAUAUCGGCGUUUGGUGGUAGUUGGGCUGCUCGAGUCCACUCAAGAAGGUUGUUGAUAGUUUCUCUGGGUUUUAUCACAUCGGCAUAAGGAAGUGCAAUCGGCAACUGGCCGAAAGCUAACUGGCGAGCUAAUGCCGAUGGAUUGUAAAAUUCGUAAGUUUGAGGGGAGGUUUUUGUGCUACCAAAGAAAUUCACUGGAAUGAUUCUGGGAGUCACAAUUGCCAUCAUCGCCUCAUUGUCCCUGUCGAGAGCUUCAUCAAAUGGAUUGAAGGUCAGAGGGAGCAUGCUAUCUGGGUCAUCAUAAGCCAACCAUGGUCGUUCGUCUCUGGUCAAACCCUCAUACAGAGUCUGGAAGAAUCGGCCGAUCUGAUCUGGAUUACCCCCUGCACCAGGCAGAACUAUUACAACUUCGCCAAAGUUCAAGGGGGUGCGUGUUGCCGAUUCCUCUUCACCCAAUACAUGGUUUUCAGCUAUAUCUCUUGGGAAACGCUGUGUGAACAGGUUGAAGUUGAGACGCUUGUGCAGAUGCAGAUUGAGCCACAUGUUGACAAACCACCAGGGGCCUCCCAAGUUGCCAGUGGAUUGGCCGAGCAGAAGUUUCUGGGCUACUUGAUGGAGAAGGUGGUAAGCAGCGCCAAGCAAGUAUCGGCCGAGAGGAAAUCGGCCACCAUUGGCUAAUCUUUCUGCUGCCGAUAAGUAAACAGAGGUUGGUCCUGCCGAUCGACCACAGAAUACAAACUUGUCCAGCCACAUGUUCAGAAAGGUGGUUUGUUCCUUUAUGGUGACAGAUCCUUUCCCACGGUACUUCUGAAUGUACCCCGACCAACCGCCGAUAGCGCGAGUCUCCACUUUGGCACUAGGGGCAGUAUCAAAAAAGUGGGUGCUAUCGGCAGAAGAUAUAUCUAGACCAGUAAGCAUGGCUACAUCGGCAAGAGUAGGAGAAGCAGGGCCGUGGCCAAAGGCAAAAGCAUUGAGGGUGUCUGACCAAAAGUAGGAUGCAGCUAUCAGCAGUGACUCGUUCCUAUGCAUAUCGGCAAUGGACAAUCUAAUGCAUUGGGCUAGAUUCCUUUCACCCCACUGAACUUCAUUAGAGUUGCUGACCCUCAAGAACCAGUCUUUCCACCCUACAGUUGGGCUGGGCCAAGAGCGGAAGGUGUCCUUCCACAGAUCUAAGGAAAAAUUUUCGGCUCUGAAGGGGAUCCUAUUGGUUUCUGCGUUGAUAAGGUCAGUUGGAUCUGGGUCCCCUAGAGGGCCGAGGCAUUGAAGGUGUGGUUGAUCGGUGGGGAUGACAAUUUUGUUGGACAAUUCCUAGUGAUUUUGGGCGUAAAAAGAAAUACAAAGAGGAAAGAAAAGGAAGAUGUUCAGUAAAAUGAAUUGCGAGUGAACAGGGAUAUGAAGAAAAAUACAGAAGACGGGGUGGAGAUUUGACCUCAGGGACGACGAACCCGACGGCCAUCUUGCUGCGAAGGAAGCGUUUGAAGGCGCCGGAGUUGGUGAAGAGGGGUACUUGUCGGAGACCUUGGGAGUUUUUGGUGGCGCCGCCGCUGGAAAAGUAAAGUUGGGUAGUAGAAUGGUGUGAUGGGGAAGGAGUACCCAAGAAGGAACUAUUUAUAGGACAAAAUGGGCAAGGGCAAAUCCGACUUAUCUCUUUGCCGCAUCCGAGAAAUCCGAGGGUACUCAGGUGGAUAUGGUAACUGUUCGCACGGUAAUCCAGGGAUUGUGCAGGUGAUUUGACGGGAAGCGGUCAUUAUCUGAAGAUAUUUUACUGUGCGAGAUCUCCUGGUCGGUCCAUCGGCAAUAUUCUAUAACGGUCAUAUUGCCGAUGGGCGGAUAGAGGGGAAGUAACCGUUUGUGCGAAUAUCCUGGUCAGAACAUCGGCAGAUCUUUGUAACGGUAUUGUUGCCGAUGUACGACUGAGAAAAAUGCCCGUUUAGGAAGUUGGGGAUUUCGAGAAAUAUGCGGAGGAAUAGGAUCAGAGUUGUUCAGAUUGAGGUUGUCGGUUACCAGAUUAGGAGCAUUAAUUGCGGGAAAAGGCAUCAUUACUGCAGAGAAUUUCGGAGCAUUAAUAGUUUUAUACUCCGAAACUGGGGGGCAUGUGUUGACACCGUUUUUGGGCACGUGUCUAGGAUGGCAGGAUAAGGUGGCAGUACGAUGUUUACAAAGUGGGUUGGCGAUGAGGAUGGUUGCCGAUGAGGGAGAAGUUGAACGUGACUAAGUCCACAGGCAGUAAUAUGUUGCCGAUGGCUAGAUAAGAAAGUCUACCGAUGACUAUGGCAAAGGGUCUGCCGAUGAUGCAAAGAGGGAGUCCGGAAGCUGCCGGUCGUUAUGUGGAGGAGUUUUGGUUUGUCACGAGGGAUAGUUUUGUUAUUUCCUUAAUUAUUUGCAUCGUUUUGUAUACGGAUUCCGUGUAAUUUAGAAUUCGAAUUCUAAUCGUGUCUGGUUGUAGCUCUUUGAGCAGGGUAUAAAUAUAGACCCUAGGGCCUUGUAAUAAAAAAUGAAUCAAUGAAUCAAACACACGUUUUUACUCAUAUUCCAGCAUUUACUUUUCGACGACUUCGUCAUACUUUUUCCUUUUGUUACGAGUUCUUAGGAAUUCGUCGACUUAAGCUCGGCGUGUUCUCAAGUUCCGCGUGAGUACCUCUUAGCCGUGACAUCCGGGCGCAUCGCUGUUGUCAGGACUAAAGUAUUCGAGUUAUCACCUUUGCCGAUAGCAAGGUCAAAUCGGCUGGCACGCCUUAACAUUUGAAUCGGGUAUUAGCCCUUUGUGUUUGCAGAUCAGUUUUGCAUCAACAGAAGUAGUGUAGCAUCUCUGGGGACUCCUGAUAUGGUGAACGUGCUGCAAAUCUCCAGGAAGUGUUGGAGAUGAGCACUAGCAUCUUCGUGUGCCUUCCCACAGAACUGGUUGGAUUGCACCAUGUUGAUAAGUCCAGGCUUGAGCUCAAAGUUGCCAUCGAUCUCUGCAGCAGGUCUAGUGCGGAUGUUGACCGUAGUAGGAUCUAAGAACUCAUGGAUCGAUUUGUUCGCCAUGACUUCGAACUCUGAAGACAAGUUCUGGGUGAAACUUCGGUGAUCUUCUUGAUUGGAUGAAGCUUCGUGCUGAAGUGUUGAUGAUUUCUUCUUGAGCUUGGCUCUUGUUUUUCUGAAUAACGCUUCGGGAUUGUCAACAAAAUUUUCUGUAAGAUGUCUUCAAUUCAUACAUUACCCUGCAUAAGAUAAAAUAGAAAAAUAUCGGGGUAAAACUGUAUGAGAGAAUUGAUAAUCUCAAUCAUAUUAGUGAUGCGAAUGAUGACACAAAAUUCCAUAUUCAUUCCUGAUUAGUAAUCAACCUUCCUCGGCAACGGCGCCAAAAAUGCUUGUUGGGCAUUAUUAACGUCACUACCAAAAGCAGACUUAAUUUUCUAAUUGUGAUAACGGCGCCAAAAAUGCCAAACCUAUCCCUCAUGCCACUUAAGCCAAGUUGUCAUCCCUAGCAUGACAUGAGAGACGCGGUAUUGAAAUAAGCAAUUGCUCUUCUAAAUAAAUAAUAAAUGAGAUCUGCAAGCGCACAAAUUAAUACCGAUGUAGCAUUUUAACCGGGAAGUAUUCCAGGUAUCGUUAUUUAUAUUUUUACCACUGGGAAGGGAUUAGUAAUCAUCAAUGUUGAUUAUGGAAUGGAAUAUAUAAUUGAGUAUAUAUCAUUGCAUGUAUAAUUGAGAGCAUUUAUCUAUCUAUUUCAUACAGGGAUAAGUGUCACAUAAAAGAUAGAUAAAGUAUGAAUGGUGACAAAGAUAAUUAAUCUAAUCAGCAUAACUUAGCCCCAUAAUAAAUAUGAUAAGCACCUCAAUUAGAUAUUCUAGCAAGUCAUUAGCAUGGAGUUAGGACGAACUACAAGAAUAUUUCCUAAGUUAUUCUUAACUAUAAAGUGUAGCAUAUCAUAGUUAGUGCAAUUAUACUUGGCAAUCAUUGUGAGACAGGACUACGCCCAUGCAUAGUGAUAUUAUCAAGGAAUAUGAGAAACAUAGCAAUCACUCCCCUAUAAUAAUGUUGCUCUGCCAGCCCUAUACACGAGAGGGGGACUAUAUAAGAACCAAUGGAGCUGUCACUACCACGAACUACCCCGCGAUCUGGCAUAUAGGGUACAAUCGCAAAUAAAUACGGUAUAGGCACCACGCCUACACAAUACUUAUCAUUUACCCACUGUACACAUGGAUAAAUGCUAUACGAUCCUAAACAUGUAUAUAAUUCCAAUCUAACUAAGCCAAGUAUAUAACUAUGAUAAACUAAGAACAAUAUAAUUACGAAUAUAAACUAGUAGAGCAAAGUCAUAAUCAAUAUAUUGAAGUAGAACAAAGUCAUGUUCAUAAUAUUGAAGAACAAAGAUGAACAAUUGAAGAACAAUAGAAUCCUCUUGACAGAUCCGGAAACCAAUGGUAGAUUGACUCCUUCUAGUUCUAAUCCAAUGUAGCUAUGCUAAUCUAGAGAUCUAAUUGAUGUGGUGGCUCUAGUGCUUGAUCAGAGGCUUCUUCUCCCAAGAUGAAUAAUGAAUUAGGGGUCUGAGGUCCUCUCCUCUAGGGGCUAGGGGGUCUGGUUAUAUAGUCCUUCCAAGUGAAUGUGGGCCGUUGGAUCAAACCGACAUUAAUCGCACGGUUUUCCUUGAUCCUUUAGCUCGGUGGAGCAUGAUCCGCGAAGUUGAACUUGAUUGGCUCCGAGGCCAGGGCGGGCGCCCAAGGGGGGAGGGCGGGCGCCCUGCCCCUGAGCCCAUCCGGUCUCCUGUUCGUUCCUAUGCCUUCUGGACUCUUCUAGAUGUUAGAUAAUUGUGUGGCACGUUAAUAUCUCUAUGUUAACCCGACAUGUGGGCCGUUCUUCCAUAAUUCCUGAUAACCUCCUGCAGAAAUAGACAAACACCAAAACUCAUGCAAUUCUAUCAGAUAAAACCCUAAGUUUGAAUGUCGGUUGCAUUUGGAUCCUUUUCUUUAUUUAUUUGUUGAUUAAAUUUGAUACUUGAGGACUGUCAACAAGGGGUGCCCUCUCAUUAUUACCGGUCUCUAUCACCACGAAGUCUGCUGGGGAGUACAAGGUAGCAACUCGGACACAGAGGUUCUUCAAUAUUCCCUUUGGGAAACUUAACGCCUGAUCUGCAAACUGCAAACACAUGGUUUUUUCUAGUAAAGGAUAUGUAAAUAAUUUUUCAUAGAGUACCCUGGGCAUAAUGUUCACACUAGAGCCAAAGUCGCAGAGUGCUUCUGGGAAGUCCACCAUGCCGAUGCAGAUCAGGAUGACGGGGCGUCCUGGAUCGCCUCUCUUGACCGGCAGAAGGUCAGUAGUAACUUCCGUGACGGGGUUACUCCAGUAGUUACCUACAUCAAACAUGUCUACGAGAUUUGCAGAUUCUAAUCCUUCCGGUUGUGAUGGUAUACCGGGGUUAAUAGUACGAACAACAGCUGCUAUUUGAUUUAACUGAGAUUCAAUUAUUUUAUUAAAGCUAAUUUGAUUCUUAAUGGUAGUAGAGAAAUUAUCCAUUCUAUUAUUUAUAUUUUCUAGCAUUUUAUCAUUAGAUGCUAAUUUCUUAGAUAGGUUAUCCAUUAGCUUUCCUUGAUUAGACACUAACUCUCUCAGAGGUGGAAAACUAUUAUUAUUAUUGUAAGAAUUGGUACCUUGAUAAUUACCUGAGUAGUUAGGCCUCUAUUGAUUCCAACCUUGAUUUUGUUGAGGACGGUUGUAGUAGUUGUUGUUGUUAUUGUUGUUGAUGUAGUUCACAUCCUCAAGUAUCUCAGGGCAGCGAUUGCCUGAGUGUCUGGUAUCUCCACACUCCUCACAAGUCAUGUGAGAGUCGUAGAUGUGCAUAACUUCCUUCUUAUCUCCAGCUCUAUCAUCGAGCUUCUUCAUGAGCAGGUCUAGCUUAGCAGACAGCAUGUCUACUUCCUGAGCUGGGGCAUACCUCCACCUCUCUUGCGUGUCUGGGUCCUUUCUUCAUUCCAGCCUUGGUUGGACGCCAUCUUCUCCACAAGAGCUGUGGCUUGUGGUAUGGUGAGUGGUAGGAAUGAUCCUCCAGCUGCAGCAUCCAUGGUCUCUCAGGCACUAUUGCUGAGUCCAUGAUAAAAUGUCUGCAUUAGUAGCCAACUCUCCAUUCCUUGAUGUGGACAUUCUAGGAUGUAGUCUUGGAAGCGCUCCCAUGCUUCUGGAAUGGAUUCAUCAUAUUGUUGCUGAAAACUUGUAAUUUUCCCAUGGAGAGCAUUGGUCUUGCUCAUGGGAAAGAACUUAGCCAGAAUGUUUGUGGAGCAGAGUGCCCACGUAGUAUUCUUCUCUUUUGUAGCGUAGAACCACUGCUUCGCUCUCCCCAACAGUGAGAAUGGGAAGAGGCGAAGUAGUAUAGCAUCUCUGUGGACUCCUGAUAUGGUGAACGUGCUGCAAAUCUCCAGAAAGUGUUGGAGAUGAGCACUAGCAUCUUCGUGUGCCUUACCACAGAACUGGUUGGAUUGCACCAUGUUGAUAAGUCCAGGCUUGAGCUCAAAGUUGCCAUCGAUCUCUGCAGCAGGUCCAGUGCGGAUGUUGACCGUAGUAGGAGCUAAGAACUCACGGAUCGAUUUGUUCGCCAUGACUUCGAACUCUAAAGACAAGUUCUAGGUGAAACUUCGGUGAUCUUCUUGAUUGGAUGAAGCUUCGUGCUGAAGUGUUGAUGAUUUCUUCUUGAGCUUGACUCUUGUUUUUGUGAAUAACGCUUCGGGAUUGUCAACAAAAUUUUCUGUAAGAUGUCUAUUCAUACAUUACCCUGCAUAAGAAAAAUUAGUAAAAUAUCGGGGUAAAACUGUAUGAGAGAAUUGAUAAUCUCAAUCAUAUUAGUGAUGCGAAUGAUGACUCAAAAUUCCAUAUUCAUUCCUGAUUAGUAAUCAACCUUCCUCGGCAACGGCGCCAAAAAUGCUUGUUGGGCAUUAUUAACGUCACUACCAAAAGUAGACUUAAUUUUCUAAUUCUGAUAACGGCGCCAAAAAUGCCAAACCUAUCCCUCAUGCCACUUAAGCCAAGUUGUCAUCCCUAGCAUGACAUGAGAGACACGGUAUUGAAAUAUGCAAUUGCUCUUCUAAAUAAAUAAUAAAUGAGAUCUGCAAGCGCACAAAUUAAUACCGAUGUAGCAUUUUAACCGGGAAGUAUUCCAGGUAUCGUUUUUUAUAUUUUUACCACUGGGAAGGGAUUAGUAAUCAUCAAUGUUGAUUAUGGAAUGGAAUAUAUAAUUGAGUAUCUAUCAUUGCAUGUAUAAUUGAGAGCAUUUAUCUAUCUAUUUCAUACAGGGAUAAGUGUCACAUAAAAGAUAGAUAAAGUAUGAAUGGUGACAAAGAUAAUUAAUCUAAUCAGCAUAACUUAGCCCCAUAAUAAAUAUGAUAAGCACCUCAAUUAGAUAUUCUAGCAAGUCAUUAGCAUGGAGUUAGGACGAACUACAAGAAUAUUUCCUAAGUUAUUCUUAACUAUAAAGUGUAGCAUAUCAUUGUUAGUGCAAUUAUACUUGGCAAUCUUUGCGAGACAGGACUAGGCCCAUGCAUAGUGAUAUUAUCAAGGAAUAUGAGAAACAUAGCAAUCACUCCCCUAUAAUAAUGUUGCUCUGCUAGCCCUAUACACGAGAGAGGGACUAUAUAAGAACCAAUGAAGCUGUCACUACCACGAACUACCCCGCGAUCUGGCAUAUAGGGUACAAUCGCAGAUAAAUACGGUAUAGGCACCACGCCUACACAAUACUUAUCAUUUACCCACUGUACACAUGGAUAAAUGCUAUACGAUCCUAACAUGUAUAUAAUUCCAAUCUAACUAAGCCAAGUAUAUAACUAUGAUAAACUAAGAACAAUAUAAUUACGAAUAUAAACUAGUAGAGCAAAGUCAUAAUCAAUAUACUGAAGUAGAACAAAGUCAUGUUCAUAAUAUUGAAGAACAAAGAUGAACAAUUGAAGAACAAUAGAAUACUCUUGACAGAUCUGGAAACCAAUGGAAGAUUGACUCCUUCUAGUUCUAAUCCAAUGUAGCUAUGCUAAUCUAGAGAUCUAAUUGAUGUGGUGGCUCUCGGGCUUGAUCAGAGGCUUCUUCUCCCAAGAUGAAUAAUGAAUUAGGGGUUUGAGGUCCUCUCCUCUAGGGGCCAGGGGGUCUGGUUAUAUAGUCCAUCCAAGUGAAUGUGGGCCGUUGGAUCAAACCGACAUUAAUCGCACGAUUUUCCUUGAUCCUUUAGGUCGGUGGAGCAUGAUCUGCGAAGCUGAACUUGAUUGGCUCCGAGGCCAGGGCGGGCGCCCUGCCCCCGAGCCCGUCCGGUCUCCUGUUCGUUCCUGUGCCUUCUGGACUCUUCUAGAUGUUAGAUAAUUGUGUGGCACGUUAAUAUCUCUAUGUUAACCCAACAUGUGGGGCGUUCUUCCAUAAUUCCUGAUAACCCCCUGCAGAAAUAGACAAACACCAAAACUCAUGGAAUUCUGUCAGAUAAAACCCUAAGUUUGAAUGUCGGUUGCAUUUGGAUCCUUUUCUUUAUUUAUUUGUUGAUUAAAUUUGAUACUUGAGGACCGUCAACAAGGGGUGCCCUCUCAUCAUUACCGGUCUCUAUCACCACGAAGUCUGCUGGGGCGUACAAGGUACCAUCUCGGACACAGAGGUUCUUCAAUAUUCCCUUUGGGAAACUUAACGCCUGAUCUGCAAACUGCAAACACAUGGUUGUUUCUAGUAAAGGAUAUGUAAAUAAUUUUUCAUAGAGUACCCUAGGCAUAAUGUUGACACUAGAGCCAAAGUCGCAGAGUGCUUCUGGGAAGUCCACCAAGCCGAUGCAGAUCGGGAUGACGGGGCGUCCUGGAUCGCCUCUCUUGACCGGCAGAAGGCCAGUAGUAACUUCCGUGACGGGGUUAGUCCAGUAGUUACCUACAUCAAACAUGUCUACGAGAUUUGCAGAUUCUAAUCCUUCCGAUUUUGAUGGUAUACCGGGGUUAGUAGUACGAACAGCAGCAGCUAUUUGAUUUAACUAAGAUUCAAUCAUUUUAUUAAAGCUAAUUUGAUUCUUAAUGGCAGUAGAGAAAUUAUCCAUUCUAUUAUUUAUAUUUUCUAGCAUUUUAUCAUUAGAUGCCAAUUUCUUAGAUAGGUUAUCCAUUAGCUUUCCUUGAUUAGACACUAACUCUCUCUGAGGUGGAAAACUAUUAUUAUUAUUGUAAGAAUUGGUACCUUGAUAAUUACGUGAGUAGUUACGCCUCUAUUGAUUCCAACCUUGAUUUUGUUGAGGAAGAUUGUUGAAGUUCUUGUUGUUAUUGUUGUUGAUGUAGUUCACAUCCUCAAGCAUCUCAGGGCAGCGAUUGCCUGAGUGUCUGGUAUCUCCACACUCCUCACAAGUCAUGUGAGAGUCGUAGAUGUGCAUAACUUCCUUCUUAUCUCCAGCUCUAUCAUCGAGCUUCUUCAUGAGUAGGUCUAGCUUAGCAGACAGCAUGUCUACUUCCUGAGCUGGGGCAUACCUCCACCUCUCUUGCGUGUCUGGGUCCUUUCUUCAUUCCAGCCUUGGUUGGACGCCAUCUUCUCCACAAGAGCUGUGGCUUGUGGUAUGGUGAGUGAUAGGAAUGCUCCUCCAGCUGCAGCAUCCAUGGUCUCUCAGGCACUAUUGCCGAGUCCAUGAUAAAACGUCUGCAUUAGUAGCCAACUCUCCAUUCCUUGAUGUGGACAUUCUAGGAUGUAGUCUUGGAAGCGCUCCCAUGCUUCUGGAACGGAUUCAUCAUGUUGUUGCUGAAAACUUGUAAUUUUCCCAUGGAUAGCAUUGGUCUUGCCCAUGGGAAAGAACUUAGCCAGAAUGUUUGUGGAGCAGAGUGCCCAUGUAGUAUUCUUUUCUUUUGUAGCGUAGAACCACUGCUUCGCUCUCCCCAAUAGUGAGAAUGGGAAGAGGCGAAGUAGUAUAGCAUCUCUAGGGACUCCUGAUAUGGUGAACGUGCUGCAAAUCUCCAGGAAAUGUUGGAGAUGAGCACUAGCAUCUUCGUGUGCCUUACCAUAGAACUCGUUGGAUUGCACCAUGUUGAUAAGUCCAGGCUUGAGCUCAAACUUGCCAUCGAUCUCUGCAGCAGGUCCAGUGCGGAUGUUGACCGUAGUAGGAGCUAAGAACUCAUGGAUCGAUUUGUUCGCCAUGACUUCGAACUCUAAAGACAAGUUCUGGGUGAAACUUCGGUGAUCUUCUUGAUUGGAUGAAGCUUCGCGCUGAAGUGUUGAUGAUUUGUUCUUGAGCUUGGCUCUUGUUUUUGUGAAUAACGCUUCGAGAUUGUCAACAAAAUUUUCUGUAAGAUGUCUAUUCAUACAUUACCCUGCAUAAGAUAAAAUAGAAAAAUAUCGGGGUAAAACUGUAUGAGAGAAUUGAUAAUCUCAAUCAUAUUAGUGAUGCGAAUGAUGACUCAAAAUUCCAUAUUCAUUCCUGAUUAGUAAUCAACCUUCCUCGGCAACGGCGCCAAAAAUGCUUGUUGGGCAUUAUUAACGUCACUACCAAAAGUAGACUUAAUUUUCUAAUUGUGAUAACGGCGCCAAAAAUGCCAAACCUAUCCCUCAUGCCACUUAAGCCAAGUUGUCAUCCCUAGCAUGACAUGAGAGACGCGGUAUUGAAAUAUGCAAUUGCUCUUCUAAAUAAAUAAUAAAUGAGAUCUGCAAGCGCACAAAUUAAUACCGAUGUAGCAUUUUAACCGGGAAGUAUUCCAGGUAUCGUUAUUUAUAUUUUUACCACUGGGAAGGGAUUAGUAAUCAUCAAUGUUGAUUAUGGAAUGGAAUAUAUAAUUGAGUAUAUAUCAUUGCAUGUAUAAUUGAGAGCAUUUAUCUAUCUAUUUCAUACAGGGAUAAGUGUCACAUAAAAGAUAGAUAAAGUAUGAAUGGUGACAAAGAUAAUUAAUUUAAUCAGGAUAACUUAGCCUCAUAAUAAAUAUGAUAAGCACCUCAAUUAGAUAUUCUAGCAAGUCAUUAGCGUGGAGUUAGGACAAACUACAAGAAUAUUUCCUAAGUUAUUCUUAACUAUAAAGUGUAGCAUAUCAUAGUUAGUGCAAUUAUACUUGGCAAUCAUUGCGAGACAGGACUACGCCCAUGCAUAGUGAUAUUAUCAAGGAAUAUGAGAAACAUAGCAAUCACUCCCCUGUAAUAAUGUUGCUCUGCCAGCCCUAUACACGAGGUUGGGACUAUAUAAGAACCAAUGGAGCUGUCACUACCAAGAACUACCCCACGAUUUGGCAUAUAGGGUACAAUCGCAGAUAAAUACGGUAUAGGCACCAUGCCUACACAAUACUUAUCAUUUACCCACUGUACACAUGGUUAAAUGCUAUACGAUCCUAAACAUAUAUAUAAUUCCAAUCUAACUAAGCCAAGUAUAUAACUAUGAUAAACUAAGAACAAUAUAAUUACGAAUAUAAACAAGUAGAGCAAAGUCAUAAUCAAUAUAUUGAAGUAGAACAAAGUCAUGUUCAUAAUAUUGAAGAACAAAGAUGAACAAUUGAAGAACAAUAGAAUCCUCUUGACAGAUCCAGAAACCAAUGGAAGAUUGACUCCUUCUAGUUCUAAUCCAAUGUAGCUAUGCUAAUCUAGAGAUCUAAUUGAUGUGGUGGCUCUAGGGCUUGAUCAGAGGCUUCUUCUCCCAAGAUGAAUAAUGAAUUAGGGGUCUGAGAUCCUCUCCUCUAGGGGCCAGGGGGUCUGGUUAUAUAGUCCCUCCAAGUGAAUGUGGGCCGUUGGAUCAAACCAACAUUAAUCGCACGGUUUUCCUUGAUCCUUUAGGUCGGUGGAGCAUGAUCCACGAAGUUGAACUUGAUUGGCUCCGAGGCCAGGGCGGGCGCCCAAGGGGGGAGGGUGGGCGCCCUGCCCCCGAGCCUGUCCGGUCUCCUGUUCGUACCUGUGCCUUCUGGACUCUUCUAGAUGUUAGAUAAUUGUGUGGCACGUUAAUAUCUUUAUGUUAACCCGACAUGUGGGCCGUUCUUCCAUAAUUCCUGAUAACCCCCUGCAGAAAUAGACAAACACCAAAACUCAUGGAAUUCUGUCAGAUAAAACCCUAAGUUUGAAUGUCGGUUGCAUUUGGAUCCUUUUCUUUAUUUAUUUGUUGAUUAAAUUUGAUACUUGAGGACCGUCAACAAGGGGUGCCCUCUCAUCAUUACCGGUCUCUAUCACCACGAAGUCUGCUGGGGCGUACAAGGUACCAUCUCGGACACAGAGGUUCUUCAAUAUUCCCUUUGGGAAACCUAACGCCUGAUCUGCAAACUGCAAACACAUGGUUGUUUCUAGUAAAGGAUAUGUAAAUAAAUUUUCAUAGAGUACCCUGGGCAUAAUGUUUACACUAGAGCCAAAGUCGCAGAGUGCUUCUGGGAAGUCCACCAUGCCGAUGCAGAUCGGGAUGACGGGGCGUCCUGGAUCGCCUCUCUUGACCGGCAGAAGGUCAGUAGUAACUUCCGUGACGGGGUUACUCCAGUAGUUACCUACAUCAAACAUGUCUACGAGAUUUGCAGAUUCUAAUCCUUCCGGUUUUGAUGGUAUACCGGGGUUAGUAGUACGAACAGCAGCAGCUAUUUGAUUUAACUGAGAUUCAAUCAUUUUAUUAAAGCUAAUUUGAUUCUUAAUGGCAGUAGAGAAAUUAUCCAUUCUAUUAUUUAUAUUUUCUAGCAUUUUAUCAUUAGAUGCCAAUUUCUUAGAUAGGUUAUCCAUUAGCUUUCCUUGAUUAGACACUAACUCUCUCAGAGGUGGAAAACUAUUAUUAUUAUUGUAAGAAUUGGUACCUUGAUAAUUACCUGAGUAGUUAGGCCUCUAUUGAUUCCAACCUUGAUUUUGUUGAGGACGGUUGUAGUUGUUGUUGUUGUUAUUGUUGUUGAUGUAGUUCACAUCCUCAAGCAUCUCAGGGCAGCGAUUGUCUGAGUGUCCGGUAUCUCCACACUCCUCACAAGUCAUGUGAGAGUCGUAGAUGUGCAUAACUUCCUUCUUAUCUCCAGCUCUAUCAUCGAGCUUCUUCAUGAGCAGGUCUAGCUUAGCAGACAGCAUGUCUACUUCCUGAGCUGGGGCAUACCUCCACCUCUCUUGCGUGUCUGGGUCCUUUCUUCAUUCCAGCCUUGGUUGGACGCCAUCUUUUCCACAAUAGCUGUUGCUUGUGGUAUGGUGAGUGAUAGGAAUGCUCCUCCAGCUGCAGCAUCCAUGGUCUCUCGGGCACUAUUGCCGAGUCCAUGAUAAAACGUCUGCAUUAGUAGCCAACUCUCCAUUCCUUGAUGUGGACAUUCUAGGAUGUAGUCUUUGAAGCGCUCCCAUGCUUCUGGAACGGAUUUAUCAUGUUGUUGCUGAAAACAUGUAAUUUUCCCAUGGAGAGCAUUGGUCUUGCACAUGGGAAAGAACUUAGCCAGAAUGUUUGUGGAGCACAGUGCCCACGUAGUAUUCUUCUCUUUUGUAGCGUAGAACCACUGCUUCGCUCUCCCCAAUAGUGAGAAUGGGAAGAGGCGAAGUAGUAUAGCAUCUCUGGGGACUCCUGAUAUGGUGAACGUGCUGCAAAUCUCCAGGAAGUGUUGGAGAUGAGCACUAGCAUCUUCGUGUGCCUUCCCACAUAACUGGUUGGAUUGCACCAUGUUGAUAAGUCCAGGCUUGAGCUCAAAGUUGCCAUCGAUCUCUACAGCAGGUCCAGUGUGGAUGUUGUCCGUAGUAGGAGCUAAGAACUCACAGAUCGAUUUGUUCGCCAUGACUUCGAACUCUAAAGACAAGUUCCAGGUGAAACUUCGGUGAUCUUCUUGAUUGGAUGAAGCUUCGUGCUGAAGUGUUGAUGAUCUCUUCUUGAGCUUGGCUCUUGUUUUUCUAAAUAAUGCUUCAAGAUUGUCAACAAAAUUUCCUAGAAGAUGUCUUCUAUUCAUACAUUACCCUGCAUAAGAUAAAAUAUAAAAAUAUCUGGGUAAAACUGUAUGAGAGAAUUGAUAAUCUCAAUCAUAUUAGUGAUGCUACUGAUGACUCAAAAUUCCAUAUUCAUUCCUGAUUAGUAAUCAACCUUCCCCGGCAACGACGCAAAAAAUGCUUGUUGGGCAUUCUUAACGUCACUACCAAAAGUAGACUUAGUUUUCUAAUUCUGAUAACGGCGCCAAAAAUGCCAAACCUAUCCCUCAUGCCACUUAAGCCAAGUUGUCAUCCCCCGCAUGACAUGAAAGACAUGGUAUUGAAAUAUGCAAUUGCUCUUCUAAAUAAAUAAUGAAUGUGAUCUGCAAGCGCACAUAUUAAUACCGAUGUAGCAUUUUAACCGGGAAGUAUUCUAGGUAUUGUUAUUUAUAUUUUUACCACUAGGAAGGGAUUGCUAAACAUCAAUGUUGAUUAUAGAAUGUAAUAUAGGAUUGAGUAUCUAUCAUUGCAUGUAUAAUUGAGAGCAUUUAUCUAUCUCUUUCAUACAGGGAUAAGUGUCACAUAAAAGAUAGAUAAAAUAUGAAUGGUGACAAAGAUAAUUAAUCUGAUCAGCAUAACUUAGCCACAUAUAAAUAUGAUAAGCACCUCAAUAGAUAUUCUAGCAAUUCAUUAGCAUGGAAUUAGGAUGAACUACAAGAAUAUUUCCUAAGUUAUUCUUAACUAUAAAGUCUAGCAUAUCAUAGUUAGUGCAAUUAUACUUUGCAAUCAUUGCGAGACAAGAUUACGCCCAUGCAUAGUGAUAUUAUCAAGGAAUAUGAGAAACAUCGCAAUUACUCCCCUAUAAUAAUGUUGCUCUGCCAGCCCUAUACACGAGAGGGAGACUAUAUAAGAAUCAAUGGAGCUAUCACUACCACAAACUACCCCGCGAUCUGGCAUAUAGGCUACAAUCGCAGAUAAAUACGGUAUAGGCACCAUGCCUACACAAUACUUAUCAUUUACCCACUGUACACAUGGAUAAAUGCUAUACGAUCCUAAACAUGUAUUUAAUUCCAAUCUAACUAAGUCAAGCAUAUAACUACGAUAAACUAAGAACAAUAUAAUUGCAAAUAUAAACAAGUAGAGCAAAGUCAUAAUCAAUAUAUUGAAGUAGAACAAAGUCAUAUUCAUAAUAUUGAAGAACAAAGAUGAACAAUUGAAGAAUAGUAGAGGAAUUACCAAGAAUCCUCUUGACAGAUCCGGAAGCCAAUCAAAGAUUGAUUCCUUCUAGUUCUAAUCCUAUGUAGCUAUGCUAAACUAGAGAUCUAAUUGAUGUGGUGGCUCUAGGCUUGAUCAGAGGCUUCUUCUCCCAAGAUGAAUAAUGAAUUAGCGGUCAAAGGUCCUCUCCUCUAGGGGUCAGGGGGUCUGAUUAUAUAGUCCUUCCAAGUGAAUGUGGAACGUUGGAUCAAACCGACAUUAAUCGCACGGUUUUCCUUGAUCCUUUAGGACGGUGGAGCAUGAUCCGCGAAGUUGGCUCUGAUUAGCCCCGAGGCUAGGGUGGGCGCCCAAGGGGGAGGGCGGGCGCCCUGCCCCCGAGCCCGUCCGGUCUCCCGUUUGUUCCCAUGGCUUUUGGACUCUUCUAGAUGUAGGAUAAUUGCGCGGCACGUUAAUAUCUCUAUGUAAACCCGAUGUGUGGGCCUUUCUUCCAUAAUUCCUGAUAACCCCCUGCAGAAAUAGACAAACACCAAAACUCGUGGAAUUCUAUCAGAUAAAACCCUAAGUCUGGAUGUCGGUUGCAUUUGGAUCCUUUUCUUUGUUUAUUUGAUAAUUAAAUUUGAUACUUAAGGACCGUCAACAUCAACAUCAUGCCCAAGGUAAUUUAUGAGAAAAUAUGAAGUGAUCCCCUAUUCUACACAAAUAUGCGUUUGCAGUUUGUAGAUCAAUUUGCCACCCUGAGGGAGUACUGGAAUAAGUUGUCAUUAGAGUGGGGCAAUCAUAUGUCCCAGUUGACUUCGUGGUCGUGGGGAUAGGAGUAGAUGAGAAGGCACCCAACAUUUUGGUCAAACCAUUCUUGUGCACAACAAAAGCCAUCAUCUAUGCAGAGUAUGCGAAGAUUGUCCUAUCCAUCAAGGACAAGAAAGAGAGAUUCACAUUCAAGAACCACAUCCUGAAAGCUCCUCCAUCCCUGAAGCAACUCCAUCAACAAGGAGAGCAAGAACAGCAACCAAUGCCGAAGAAAAAGAAUAAUAGAAACAACUGAAGAUGGAGGAGGUCCAAGCAUGCACCUGUGGAGACAACUCAAUUGAUCAUUCCUCUCAACACAGAGAAUGAUCAUAUGCUACCCAAGCCAUUUCCAAUCAAGAGAGGUGAUCCAGGAGUUCCAAUCAUUGAAUGCACAAUCAAAGACACCACCUUCCCCCACACCAUCUGCGACACCGGAUCAGGCUGUAACGUAAUGUCCAAACAGGUAUACAAUGAGUUAUUUGAUUUACCUUUAUACCAGUUGCAGACGGCGGAUCAAUCACUAAGGUUCCCUGAAGGAGUGGUCAAGAAUGUCGCGGUAAGAAUUCAUGGACAAUAUAUGCCUGCAUAUUUUGUAGUUCUUGACAUGCAGAGACCAUUCCUUUACACAACAAAAGUCAGCAUCUACAUUGGAUCCGGGCAUAUCCGCUUCAACCUUCCUACCGGAAAGGUACGCUGUCAAUUUAGAACACAAGUUAACCAUGAGCAAAUCAGGAAGCAACGCAACAGGAGAAGACGCCAAGCCGGCCGUUAGGCUGCUCAGCCUCACUGUGAAUGGGAAGACUUCCCUAGCAAGACUUUGAAAUAUGAAGAUCACUUCACGGAGCAAGAAGAGAACAUGCGGGCACCCCAAUGGAGUGAGUGGGUAAAAGAAGCUAAAAGGAUGGACCAAAAUGCCAAGAAACAGAAAGAGGAGACCUUAGCAUGAUUAGAAGCAUGAGAGAAGGAGAAUAGACAUGAAGAGUUGGAGCUAGAGAAGAAAGAAGCAAAAGAGACAGAAGCAAUAAGGAAGGAAGACGCAUGUGAUGCAUCACCACAAAACAAGGAGUUGACUGAGGUUACCUGAGACGAUGAACCCACUGAGUAAGUCCUCUCCGCUAUCUAAGUCUUGUCGGUAGACUUUAAAUUCCAUACCCUAGCCAUAAGGUCAGAAUGGUAGUUAUUUAGUUAAGUUAGCAUCCAUUAGUAAUUUUUCUUUAAAACACCUAGUAGCAUAUUUAUUUCUCUUGGCAUAUUAAUACAAAAUUCAAAAAAAUAUUUACUGCUUUAAUUACUGCAUCAUGAAUACCAAAGCCCCAUGUGAAUAAAAUUAUGGUUACCCCUUAGGAAUAUUUACUAUGGUGGCAUAAAAAAUUAAAUAGCAUUCAUAUUUAUUUCAUGCAUUAUAAAAUCAGAAAAUACAAAAAGGUAGAAACAUGAAUUUCUGCAAAAGAAUAAUCAAUUACUCAUUGGCUGACUGCUAACCCAUUGUUAAAUUCAAGCCUCGAGUUUUGGUUCUCUUGUUGAUGUGUGACUAUGCAGGAAUGACAUCAUAGCAAGAAGAGAGUCCAUCAAUGGCACCCACCAGGUUCGCUACUGGUUAGCUCACUCUAAAGGACGUCUACACCAAGUAUUGCAACCAUCCAUCUUGGGGGAGGAGCAUCCCCUAGUUAUUAGGUAAUUAUACCUAAGUGAUUUUUUAGUCUAUAUAGUCAUAAAAAUACCAAAAAUAUGUGGGCACAUGAAGGUCCACAAGUCAUAGUGUCUUUUUUGUGAGUUUAUAAUUAGCUAAGUGUUAGAGUUUGUUUAGAGUCAAUUUAAACUAGAGCUGAAUAAGAAUUGAUGAACAUUAAGAUCUUGUCUUGGACAUGAUGAAUAGUUGCGCUAUUAUAGAUCUUUACAAGUACCUAGAUUUCAAUGUUAGAUUCUCUCGAGUUUUGGACAUUACUGUUUUAAUUUGAAGUUUUACUCUAAACCUGCAACUUGUGAAGGCAUAAGUUUGAGCUAAGUCUAGGUAGUUGGUGUUGACGGUCCUUAAGUACUAAAUUUAACCAUCAACUAAACACGAAAAAGGAUCAAUAUGCACCAAACAUCUACAAUUAGGGUUUUAACUGACAGAAUUCCACGAGCUUUGGUGUUUAUCUAUUUUUGUAGGGGGUUAUCAGAAAAUAUGGAGAGAAAGCCCACAUGUCAUGUUUACAACGAGAUAAUUACGUGUCGCGCAAUUUUCCUUAAUCUAGAAGAGUCCAAAAGCCACGGGAACGAACGGGAGACUGGACGGGCUCGGGGGCAGGGCGCCCGCCCUCCCCCCUUGGGCGCCCGCCCUGGCCUUGGGGCCAAUCAGGUUCAACUUCCCGGAUUAUGCUCCACCGACCUAAAGGAUCAAGGGAAACCGUGCGAUCAAUGUCGGUUUGAUCCGACGGCCCAAAUUCACUUGAAAGGACUAUAUAAUCAAGGCCUCUCCACCCAGGGGGAGAGAGGAGAAAUCAUUAUCAGAGAAAGAAAACAAAGAUAGGGUUUAGAACUUCUCUCCCAUAGAGAAUUAGAAUUAGCUACACCCUAAUCCUUCCAGUUUAGAGGAUUGAUUAGAUAGCAAUUAGAGAAGUAGAGCCUAGUGCUCUGGAUUCGGAUCCUCAUCAAUAAAGAUUGGUAUUAUUUCAUAUCUUUCUUUACUACUUUGUUCUAAUUGCAAUAUGUCUCUAUUUAUUAUGCUCUUAGUUUGCUCUAGUUCUAUAUUUGAUAUAGUUAUGAUUGAUAAUUAGUUUAUGUAUAAGUUUGCAAAGUGCUUAGCUCUUGACAUGUGGGAGUUAAGUGGUAGAUCACAUAUAGGCAUGGUGCUUAGGUGUUAUUUACCUGCAAAUGUAUCCUAUUGGCCGGGUCGUGUGGUAGUUCGCGAUAGUGACAGCUUCGUUGAUUCUUAUAUAGUCCACCCUCUGUUGAUAGGACAGACAUAAUUUGUAUUGCGGAGUAAGUCUUGCGAUGCUCUGAUUUACUUUAGCAAUGUUCCUUGUACAUGAAUGAAGAGUCUUUUAUGCUAUAUAUGAUCUUGUAGAUAACUAGAGUAGAUUGUGACUUAGUAGAUAGUAGAUAACUUAGAAUCCAUUCUCUAGCUAAUCCGACGUCACGUUACAUAUAUGAGGAGUAGUCUAUUUUCUAAUCGCUGUGUUAUUUACCCAAAAGCUUAUAUUUUAUUAUCAUUAUUAUUAUGGCUUACCCCCUGCUAAAGUAAGUGACUGUGUGACGAGUUUCUCAUUAGUAAUCAUGUUCUUGCAAGUUUAUCUCUAGUCUAUGUCUCGAUGAAUUUUAUCCAUCUUUUUAUCUCCAUUGUUCUCUUAAGCAAAAUUAUAAAUAACGAUACCUAGAAUACUUACCUGGUGAAAUGCUACAAUGAGGUAUUUUAUCUGUGCGCUUUCGGAUAGAAUAGAUUAUUUUCUAGAGAGCCUCCAUAUUUAUAAAUAACUUUGUACACUCUCGCACAAUGCUGGGGAUGGCAACCCAGUAUCCAAGUGGUGUUAGUAAGUGUCAACAAGCAUUUCUGGCGCCGUUGCCGGGGAAUCAAAGGGAGACGGUAAGGAAAGUCAGGAAGUCAGUCAAGGUUAUUCACAUAAAAUAUUAGACUAGACUAUAGAGAAAUAAUUGCAUAAAAUAACUACUAAGUGAGAAAUCAUAACAAGGCACCUCUGCUUUGGCAGGUUCACCUUGUUGUUUUUCUAUGUUUUUAUUUUUAUACAGGGUAUAUCAGGAUUGACUUUGGUACAUUCAACUCUUCAUCAUUAGAACCAAAGCAAUCAAGGAAGAAAGAAGAAGCUAGUUACCAAUUGCUGAAGCUAUGGCACAGAAGACCCUACGAGAAUUCUCCGCUCCAAGCCUUGAGAACAUUCCAACUAGUCCAAGAUUUACAGUAGAAGGAGCACCCGAGUUCGAGCUCAAUUCAAGCCUCAUCAAUUUGGUACAAGCUACACAAUUCAGUGGAAAGGCACAUGAAGAUGCUAGUGCACACUUGCAGAAUUUCUUAGAGAUUGGAAGCACAACCCACAUCAAUGGAGUCGACAAAGACGUCAUACUGCUUCGCCUCUUCCCAUUCUCACUAGAAGGGAAGGCGAGGAAGUGGUUCUACACCCAUCAAGAUAAUAUCAACAACUGGACGAACUUGUCAGAUGCCUUUCUAUCAAAAUUUUUCCCUAUGGGCAAGACAGCUGCCUUAAGAGGAAAUAUUGUCAGUUUCCAACAGCGGAAGACAGAAACCAUUCCAGAAGCAUGGGAGCGUUUUCAAGGAUACAUAUCUGUUGACACCGUUUUUGGGCACGUGUCCAUGAUCUGUAGAAUGCAGGUUGGCAAGACAAGACGGUAGGGCUUGGUCUACAAGAUGAGUUGCCGAUGAGGAUGGUUGCCGAUGAAGAGAUAGCUGGAUGUGGCUAAGUCCAUGGGUGGUGAUGUGCUCGUGCCGAUGGCUAGUAUUGAUCGUUGCUGAUGAGGGGUCUACCGAUGGCGUAGAAGGAAGACUUGGAGGUUACCAAGUGGUCCGUAGUGGUGUUCUAGCCUGUCACGGCAAGAUGGUUUUGUGUUUUCCUUAGUUGUUUAAAUCGUUUUGUACACAGAUUCUGUCCAAAUUUGGAAUUCGAAUUCUAGUCGUGUCUGGUUGUAGCUCUCGGAGCAGGGUAUAAAUGUAGACCCUAGGGCUUUGUAAUCUAAGAAUCAAUCAAUCAAACACACAUUUUACUCAUAUUCCAAGCACCUACUUUUUCGAUGACUUCGUCAUACUUUUUUCCUUUUACUACGAGUUCUUAGGAGUUCGUCGACUUAAGCUCGGCGUAUUCUCAAGUUCCGCGUGAAUACCUCUUGGCCGUGGCAUCCGGGUGCAUCGCUGUUGUCAUGACCAAAGUAUUCGAGUUAUCAUCCUUGCCGAUAGUAAGGUCAAAUCGGCUGGCACGCCUUAACGUUUAAAUCGGGUAUUAGCCCUUUGUGUUUGCAGAUCAGCUUUUGUAUCACCACAUCUUUUGGCACGCCCAGUGGGACAGAUCCAAGAUCAAGAUCAACAUGUCGACUUCUGAGUUUGAUCAAGAGAACGUCAACCCCGUGACGGAAGCCAAUCUCAAGGAUGAGCAGAAGCAAGCUAUUGCUAAAGCCAUGGAGGAUUACAAGCAGCAAUGCCUGAGGUCCUUCAGCAUGAACAGGAGCAGCGAGGUGAUCCAGAAGGAUGCACUGCCGGCACCUCGGCAGGUUACUUUUGAAGCCAAUCCUGGUAAACUUUAAGAGAUGGUUGAUAGUGCUAUUAACCGUGCUUUGAUUAACCAAGCUGGUGUACUGUCCAAUACGGUUUUCAAUGCCAUGGCUAGAACUUUCAAGGAAGGACAAUUGCCACCAGAUUAUGUGGGCCCUUCUCAUCAUCAGCCAGGAUCACCGGUGGUCACAGCUUUGCUACAGCCGCUGCGGGCCUGGAAAUUCCUGUCCCUCUAAGCACGUUAGGAGUCACUAAUGCACGAUCUACACCGAUGACAAAUCCACCUACUUCAGAUGGGCAGAUUAAACUCGCUACAGAUCUGUUGGCAUCGGCAAUGUCGGGAUCGAUUCCUCCUCCUAACUGGUGGGGUUAUGGUAUGCCUCCAGAGUUAACACCGGGUACAUCACAGACGACUGAUGUGAGAGGCAAGGCUACUAUGACAUCGGCACCCCCAAGCAUGCCGAUGAAUCAGAGUCCCUAGUAUACCACAACUACUACUGCAAGACCUUACACUGGGAAUUCUCAAGCUCCGACGUUCCAGAUGCCUAAUGCAUCGGCAGACUCAAUGCUGAUGCAACAGAGGUUUGUGACUCAGCCAGGGUAUGUCAAUCCAAUGAUCAUGCCCAAUUACCGGUCAUCGGUAGGUCCUAUGCCGAUGGACGCUAAUAAUGGAUGGCUUGGGCAGCAAGUCUUUUCACAAACACCCCAACAGAGUCAUCAGGCUACAGGGUACCAGCAAGGCCAGAUCUAUCCCGGGUUCCAGAAUCAGGGAAUGCCCAACCAGCCGGUGAAUUUUGGGCAGCAGAUCGGCGGACAGCAGAUUGGCGGGCAAUAGCUUGGUGGUCCACAGAUUGGGGGCCAGAUGAUUAACCCGAUGUUCCAUGCAGAUCGUGCGCCGCAUCGACACGUGGAAGCCUACCAGCAGGCGCCGAUCCGCAACCGCCUCAUCGGCAAGAAGCCGAUGCUUAUUGGGCCGAUAAGAUCGCUGAAGUGAUGAGGGACCAAUUUGGGAUAAUACCCGAAGUCAACACUUACUCUUAUCGGACACCGUAUCCUCCCGCAUAUGAUUUGAUCCCGCUUCCAAAUCGGUACAAGGUACCGGAUUUUACUAAGUUUUCUGGGUAGGAUGACACGUCAACCAUGGAGCACGUCAACAGGUUCAUCAUCCAAUGCGGGGAAGCUGGUAACAGGGAUGAGUUAAGGGUUCGUUUAUUCUCAUCAUCAUUGUCUGGAUCGGCUUUCACUUGGUUUAUAUCAUUACCUCCCAACUCAGUGAUUACCUGGGCCGAUCUGGAGAAACAAUUCCACAAGUACUUCUUUUCUGGGGUCCAUGAGAAGAAGAUCACCGAUUUGGUUAAAUUGAGGCAACACAAUGAUGAAUCGGUUGAAAGUUUUGUGCAGAGAAUACGGGAAGUCAAGAACAAAUGCUAUAGCCUGGUUCUGGAUGAUCGGCAGCUAGCCGAUUUGGCUUUCCAGGGUUUGUUGCCACACAUCAGGGACAAGUAUGCGUCUCAGGAGUUUGAAAGCUUAAGUCAUUUGGUACAGAGAAUUUAUGACCAAGAUAUCAAGCCUUUCGAGCCCAAGAGAGCAUGGAACAAAAAGGUGUCGUUCGUUGAUGAAGCAACAAGCUCGGACUCUGAUGAAGAACCAGUCAUCGGCUUGGCAGAGUGGGUGAAAAACAAGAAGUCGAUGUCUUGCCCUUUUGGGCAUAAAGAGCCAGAGAAGUUCGCGUUUGAUAUCACUAAAGCCGAUCGGAUAUUUGACUUUCUACUUCAGGAGGGUCAGAUCAAACUAUCACCUAAUCAUGUGAUCCCAUCGGCUGAGGAGUUGAAGAAGAUGAAGUAUUGUAAAUGGCACAAUGCGACUUCUCACAGCACCAAUGAGUGCAAAGUAUUUAGGCAAUAGCUGCAAUCGGCUAUAGAAUCAGGAAGGAUCAAAUUUGACAGCUCUAAAGCUCAGAAGCCGAUGAAAAUUGAUCAACAUCCUUUCCCAACAAACAUGCUAGAUGCUAAGGGAAAGGCCAAGGUCUUGACGUCGGAGGCAGCUGAAAGAAGUGCAUCGGUGGAUCCUCAACAUCAAAUCACUACCGCCGAUGCAAAAGGAAAAGGCCUAGUCUAGGAGGGAGUUAACUCAAGGAGGCCUCCCUGAUCUAGUAUUGUAAUAACUCACAGAAGGUCUCGGGAGACUUGGCAGCAACGUGAAGAUCGGUAUCGGCGCCAGCAAGAGGACUAUCGCCGGGAAGAAGAAAGACGCCGGCAGGAGUGGAAUCGGCAUAGGGAUCACUGGAAUUGCCCAUUCUUCAUUCAUUGUUGGGAGGAGAAUAUCAAACUUCCCACUGUCGGAGAUUGUCCUGAGUGCAACGGUUAUGACCGGUACGACAGGUCUGAUCGGCGCUAUCGUGAUAAUGGUAGGCAAUUUACUGGGCCGAUUAGAGGGAGGACAUCCGUUCAAGAUCGGCUGGGGGGCAGGCUCAGCGUGGACGACAGGCUUAGAGAUCGUGUUGAGUAUUUCCCUAGGAACCAGGAAGAACUUGAAGAGAUGGCUUAUUCACGGGUUCCCGAUGAGUUCAUAUUUUGCAGGGAUGCCAAUACUUAUCGAGUGGAAUCAAAGGAAAAUCGUCGCUCAGCGGUCAGACAGCAGCAACUUCCUCCAUGGUGUCCAGAAGGAUUGACCAGGACACAGAAAAGAAGGCUGCAGCGCGAAAGGCGAGAAGAGUUAAGCAAGGGGGAGAACUCUGGGCAGUCUGGGGAUCAGCAACAACCAGAUCCUAAGGGGAAAGGUCCAUCGGCAGAUGUCAACAUGGUCUUUAUGUUGCUGAUGGAGUUCCUUGUGCCAUCCAGUGAUGAUGAGUUGGAGUUUUCCGACCAGAUAGCUCAGUUGGCUCUAGAUCCGAUGACAACCAUCUUUGAGAAGCCUGCCGAUGAUGAAAGACAACAUCUUAAGGCUCUGUUUGUCAAAGGAAGUGUUGAUGGUCAGCCGAUGACCAAGAUUUUAAUUGACGGUGGGGCUGCUAUCAACAUCAUGCCUUGUACAGUGUAUCAGAAGCUUGGGAAAGGAGAUUAGGACCUGACCAAGACUGAUAUGAUGCUCAAAGACUUCAAGGGCAAUGUGUCCCCAGUUAAAGGAGCUAUCUGCGUAGAAUUGACCAUCGGCAGCAAAACCUUGCCGACUACCUUCUUCGUGAUCAGUGGAAAAGGUGCCUACAAUCUGUUGCUGGGGAGAGAUUGGAUUCAUGUCAAUUGUUGCAUCCCGUCUACAAUGCACCAGUGCUUGGUCCAGUGGGUAGGUGACAAGAUUGAGAUUGUCCCAGGAGAUUCUUCCUAUGUUAUUGCAUCGGCAGAAGCAGACACCUAUGAAAGGACUAGGUGUAUUUCAGGAGAAACGUGGGAAAAGGAUUUCCUCAAAGUUGCCGAUUAUGAAAUUCCACCGAUCCAAGCAGUCGGUUGCGGAGAUGGUUUUUAAUGGAUAGGUUCACCGAUGAUGGAAAGUUAGGCCAGGGGUUCACAUCGGCCGAUGAUUUGGUAGAAGUAGAUAUAGGUAGUGGUGAUAAGCCUAGACCUACUUUUAUUAGUGCUAAGUUAAGUCCUGAGUGUAAGCAACAGUUAACUGAUUUGUUGAAGGAAUAUAAAGAUUGCUUUGCUUGGGAUUAUACUCAGAUGCCUGGUUUGGACCGAUCGAUUGUUGAACAUCGGUUGCCUAUCAAGUCUGGAUUUUGGCCACAUCAGCAGCCAGCUCGCCGAUGUAAUCCUAAUAUUCUUCCUGACAUCAAGGCCGAAAUAACUAAACUUAUUGAAGCCAAAUUUAUUCGGCAGUGUCGGUAUGCCGAGUGGAUUUCCAAUGUUGUUCCGGUUUACAAGAAGAAUGGGAAGCUUCGGGUCUGCAUUGAUUUCAGGAAUCUUAUCAAAGCUACACCGAUGGAUGGGUACCCAAUGCCAGUUCCUGAGCUGCUAGUUGACGCUGCGGCUGGGCAUCAGAUUAUUAGCUUUAUAGAUGGCAAUGCAGGAUAUAAUCAAAUAUUCAUGGCUGAAGAAGAUAUUCCAAAGACCGCAUUCAGGUGUCCUGGUCAUGUUGGAUUGUUUGAGUGGAUAGUUAUGACCUUCGGCUUAAAGAAUGCUGGUGAUACUUAUCAAAGGGCCAUGAAUUUUAUAUUUCAUGAGUUCAUCAGCAAGCUGGUGGAAAUUUACAUUGAUGAUGUGGUGGUUAAGUCUGGGGACUUCACAAAGCAUCUUGCCUAUCUACGAAAGGUGUUGGAAUGCACAAGGAAGCACGGUUUGAAAAUGAAUCCCAAUAAGUGUGCAUUUGGUGUAUCGGUAGGGCAGUUUCUUGGUUUCAUGGUGUAUCUAAGGGGGAUUGAAAUCAGUCGAAGAUCUAUUGAAGCCAUCAACAAAAUAGUUGCCCCUACCAAUAAGACUGAGCUCUAGUCCUUGAUCGGCAAGGUAAAUUUUAUCAGGAGGUUUAUAUCUAAUUUGUCUGGUAAAAUUCGUGCUUUCAGUCCUCUUCUUAAGCUAAAAGCCGAUCAAGAAUUUGUUUGGGGGAAAGAACAAUAGUUGGCUCUGGAUGAAAUCAAGAAUUAUUUAAUAAAUCCUCUAGUUCUAAUUCCACCUCAGCAAGGGAAGCCCUUCAGAUUGUAUUUAUCUACCGAUGGGAUGGUCAUCGGUUCGGCUUUAAUUCAAGAAUUUGAAGGGAAAGAGCGUGUAAUUUAUUACUUAAGCAGGAAGUUGAUUGAUGCUGAGACUAGGUAUUCAGCUAUUGAGAAACUAUGCUUGUGCUUGUAUUUCUCUUGUAUCAAGUUAAGGCAUUACUUGUUAUCGGUCGAAUGCACUGUUAUUUGCAAGGAUGAUGUGGUCCGGUACAUGCUGUCCAUGCCGAUUAUGAGUGGCCGGAUCGGUAAAUGGAUUUUGGCGCUGUCAGAGUUCGAUCUGCGUUAUGAAUCGGCUAAGGCAGUUAAAGGGCAGAUUAUGGCUGAUUUUGUAACUCAACAUUGCGGUGUAGUGGAGGCUUUGGAAAUUGUACCUUGGACGCUGUUCUUUAAUGGAUCCACAUGUGACCGGGGGGGCAGGAAUCGGUAUAGUAUUAAUUUCCCCUCGGGGAAGGAAGUAUGAGUUUUCCUUGCCGAUUGCUACCACGUCGAGGAAUAAUCAGGCUGAGUAUCAAGCUUUAAUAAAGGGAUUGGAAUUGUUAAGGGAAGUUCAUGCUGAUGCUGUUGAGGUCUUCGGGGAUUCUAUGCUGGUUAUAAAUCAAUUGGCUGGAAACUAUGAAUGCUGAAGUGAAGUUCUCAUAACUUAUUACGAGCGGGGUACGCAAUUGUUAAAGGAAUUCAAGGAUUUCCGAUUAGAGUAUGUUCCUCGAUUGCAUAAUGAAGAGGCCAAUCGGUUGGCUCAGCAUGCUUCGGGAUAUCAGCCUAUGAUUAAUGCGAUAUCGGCAAUUGGUGCCGAUGAUUGGAGAAAAGAAAUUGCUGAUUAUUUGAAAGAUCCAUCUAAGAAAAUCGAAAGACGAGUUCGGUUUCAAGCAACCAAGUAUGUGCUCCUUGAAGAUGAAUUGUAUUAUCGAACUAUUGAUGGGAUUCUUCUCCGAUGCUUAGGUGAUGAUGAAGCAAGGAGUUUGAUGGGAGAAAUCCAUGAAGGGGUAUGUGGAGCACAUCAGUCGGCUUUCAAGAUGAAGUGGAUGAUUAGGAGGAACGGGUAUUAUUGUCCGACCAUACUUGAAGAUUGCUUUAAAUAUUUCAAGAGAUGUCAAGGAUGUCAGAAAUUUGGUAACGUUCAAAGAGCACCCGCAUCGGCCAUGAAUCCCAUUAUCAAACCUUGGCCGUUCCAGGGAUGGGCUAUUGACUUAAUCGGUCAGAUUUAUCCGCCAUCUAGCAAAGGGCAUAAGUUUAUCUUGGUUGCCACAGAUUAUUUCACCAAAUGGGUUGAGGCUAUUCCUUUGAAGAAAGUUAUCUCAGCAAACAUGAUUGAUUUUGUGAAAGAGCACAUUAUUUACCGAUUUGGGACCCCUCAAAUAAUUACUACCGAUCAGGGUACUAUGUUCACAUCGGGGGAGUUUGAUGAAUUCGCAAUCGGUAUGGGAAUUAAGGUGUUGAACUCUUCUCCUUACUAUGCUCAAGCUAAUGGGCAGGCCGAGGCAUCUAACAAAGGAAUUCACUAUAAGAAAUACAUGGCUUUUUAACGUUUUUAGUAUGACAAUUGUAAGAAUGUUACUAUAUCAUCCAUUUUGUGACAUUAUAUUUUAGGCAUAGUGACUUAGUGACAAUUAAAAGUUGUAUAUCACAAUAAAUGUCAUUUAACAAGUCUGAUUUCAUCUAAUGACAAUAUUUUCUAUGUCACAAGGCCUAUUUGUGUGUCACAAAUUAUUUUAUUAAUUUAUUUAAAAAACUUUCCAUAUUGACAAGGUGUUUUGCCACGUCAAGACAUGUUUUUCCUUUUUUUCUAUUUUAUUUUUUAUUAUAUCAGAUUAUAUUUUUUUUGUCUUGUACUUGGGUCACCUAUUGCACUUGAUAUAGGCCACGUCAACACAUAUUUUUCCAUGUUUUUGUCUAUUUUAUUUUUUAAAUUUUUUUAAAAGUAAAAAUAACUCUUAAAAGUUCCAAUAACAUAUCAACCAUUUUAUCUAGGUUGAGGAGGAUAGUGGGAUUAUAUAAAUUGGGGUCGGUACGCCAACAACUGGGCCAGAAUGGCAAAAGGAGCAAAGGAUAAAAAAAUAUGUAUUAUUCUGUCGGGUUCUAGUAGCAAAAUGAAAAGAAAAUAUAAAAUAAAAAAAAUUCCAAACCUUAUCUCUUCAGGGCUCCUACACGGACACACUAAAUAGAACCAGUCUGCACGCCGCAUGCCCUCGUCUAAAGAUGUCAACAAGGCCUCGAUCUCUGAUUCCUCGCGGGGAAUUCCUCUAUUAGGAGACGGGGAUGGGGAAGAUUUGUCCUCCACAAGGAUCUAACUGGUAGAAAAUCAGUCCCCGUCGGAUCCGACGGGUACGCGGAUGGUUGUGCAUCCCCGUCCCCGAUCCCCACGAACCCGCCCCGUUUAGGCCUUGUUUAGUUCCCAAAAAAUUUUUUAAAAUUUUUCAGAUUCCCCAUCACAUCGAAUCUUUAGACACAUGCAUGGAGUAUUAAAUAUAGAUGAAAAUAAAAACUAAUUGCGUAGUUUGAUCGGAAUUGACGAGACGAAUCUUUUGAGCCUAGUUAGUCCUCGAUUGGACAAUAUUUGUAAAAUACAAACGAAAUUGCUAUAGUGUCGAUUUUCUAAAAAAUUUUCGAACUAAACAAGGCCUUCCCCUGCCCUCACGGAGUCACGGCCACCGUGCCACGCGCAAGAGCUUCGGCCACCAGCGUGCUGCGCGUGCAUGCUCCAGCCUCCGGCACAUAUUGUCUAGGUGCCCAGCGUGGUAGGUCCUAGCAAGGUAGCAGCAAGGCUCAAGCCUGCAGCGAGAUGGACGCUGCCUGUUCCGACGACGGUAAGCAGCAUGCGCUGCAGCUUGUAGCAACCUUUUCUCUCUCUGCUCCUUCAAUGCUCAUCCGUCAUUGGCUAGAGGAUGGAAGAGGCAUAGAUCUGAAGCUUCCUUCCCCUAUGGAGCCUUAGUUAAUUGUUUUUUGGUAUUUUAAUUGGAUUUAGAUUUUUGAGAUAGGGACUGGAUCUGUUUCUAGGCAAAUCGAUUUGCUCAAUUGAAAUCUUAGUACGAUUGUUCUUUGGAUUUUUUAUUUGCUUUGUCCAUCAUCAUUAACUGGAUUAUGUCACAGGGACUCCAUGGGGAAUUUAUCCCCGCUCGGGGACGGGGAUAUGGAAGAAACUUCCCCUGUUGUUAUUCACGGUGACCUAAUAGAUCUGGUAGUAUAAGUGUUGAUUUAGUGCAAAGUAGUGAAGAAAUAUGAUUUUCAGUAGAGAGGGAAAAAACAUGAUCUACAGUAGUAAGGGUAUAUCUGUUGGACGCUUGCAGGUGAUUUUUCAAUAUGACCAUUUAAGGUUUAAGUUUACUGUAGUUUUCUUGUGACGAUAUUGCAGACUAUUAGGUUAUCCAUUGGUGCUGCUAUAUAUUGGGUUCUUAGAAUAUUCAGUUAUCCAGUUUCUUAUUUGUUUGUUAAUCCAAGGUCAAGGUGGGUACUGGAUCAUCUCUCCCUCCGUCUCUCACAAUUAGCAGUAAGAUGUAGUAUCCUGUUUUGCAGUUUGUUUAUUCUAUCAAAUGUGCUUGCCUGACCAAAGAAUUUUUUUGAUAAUUUUAUAAUCUAGCUAUCUACUAUAUAAAUUGUGCAAUUUUCUAUAGAUGUUUUGCCAGUUGUUAAUUUUUAGACUUCAUGCAAGGGACCAUAGUAUUGUUUGGAUAGCUGUUCUAUAACUGCAGAUUGUGCAAUUAAUUAUGUGAUUUCUAGAACAUGAUAUCUUCAUUAUAG
rnacentral:lncRNA from 1 species